GGAUGACGGUACCCAAAGCAAUAAGCACCGGCUAACGUUCGUGCCAGCAGCCGACGUUAAUCACGAAGGCGUGCAAGAGUUACCUCGGAUAAUUACUGGGCGUAUACGCGUGCGUAGGUGGUUAUUGUAAGUCCGUUUGUGAAAGCCCUGGGCUCAACCUGGUGAACUGCAGUGGAUACUGGAUGACUAGAAUGUGGUAGAGGUAGCGGAAUUCCUAGUGUAGCACGUGAAAUGCCGUAGAGAUCAGGAGGAACAUCCAUGGCGAAGGCAGCAGCUACCUGGACCAACGUUGACACUGAGGCACGAAACGUGGGGAGCCAACAGGAUUAGAUACCCUGGUAGUCCACGCCCUAAACGAUGCGAACUGGAUGUUGGGUGCAAUUUGGCCCCCAGUAUCGAAGCUAACGCCUUAAGUU
rnacentral:rRNA from 1 species